AUUGCUGACGACCGGCGCACGGGUGCGUAACGCGUAUAGAACCUACCUUAUAUUGGGGGAUAGCCCAGAGAAAUUUGGAUUAAUACCCCAUGGUAUGCUGAUUUGGCAUCGAAUUGGCAUUAAAGAUUUAUCGAUAUAAGAUGGCUAUGCGUCCUAUUAGCUAGUUGGUAUGGUAACGGCAUACCAAGGCUACGAUAGGUAGGGGUCCUGAGAGGGAGAUCCCCCACACUGGUACUGAGACACGGACCAGACUCCUACGGGAGGCAGCAGUGAGGAAUAUUGGACAAUGGAGGCAACUCUGAUCCAGCCAUGCCGCGUGCAGGAAGACUGCCCUAUGGGUUGUAAACUGCUUUUAUAGAGGAAGAAACCUCCCGACGUGUCGGGAUCUGACGGUACUCUACGAAUAAGGAUCGGCUAACUCCGUGCCAGCAGCCGCGGUAAUACGGAGGAUCCAAGCGUUAUCCGGAAUCAUUGGGUUUAAAGGGUCCGUAGGCGGGCGUAUAAGUCAGUGGUGAAAGUUUGCGGCUCAACCGUAAAAUUGCCAUUGAUACUGUAUGUCUUGAAUUAUUGUGAAGUGGUUAGAAUAUGUAGUGUAGCGGUGAAAUGCAUAGAUAUUACAUAGAAUACCGAUUGCGAAGGCAGAUCACUAACAAUUGAUUGACGCUAAGGGACGAAAGCGUGGGUAGCGAACAGGAUUAGAUACCCUGGUAGUCCACGCCGUAAACGAUGGUUACUAGCUGUUUGGUUUUCGGACUGAGUGGCUAAGCGAAAGUGAUAAGUAACCCACCUGGGGAGUACGUUCGCAAGAAUGAAACUCAAAGGAAUUGACGGGGGCCCGCACAAGCGGUGGAGCAUGUGGUUUAAUUCGAUGAUACGCGAGGAACCUUACCAG
rnacentral:rRNA from 1 species